AUGCCCAUCGAGGUCCACUUCAUCAACAAGGAGGAGCCCAAGAAGGUGUGCUUCACCUACGACCUCUUCCUGAACCUGGAGGGGAACCCGCCUGUCAAUCACCUGCGCUGCGAGAAGCUGACCUUCAACAACCCCACCAAGGACUUCCAGCGCAAGCUCAUCAAGGCCGGAGGGGUGAUGGUGAUGCCCGAGGGGGCCGAGAGCGUCUCCCGCCCGAGCCCGGACUACCCGAUGCUGCCCACCAUCCCGCUCUCCGCCUUCUCCGACCCCAAGAAGACCAAGCCCUCCCACGGCUCCAAGAAGGCGAACCAUGACGAGAGUUCAAUACGCAGUAAUGUUAUGUAGUAAUUACUGUAUUUACGAAUUUAGCACCAAAAUAUCACGAUGUAUUCAAAACAUUGACUACAAAAAUGUGUUGGAUAAUCCAGAGGCUUGGAUAAGUGAGACUCUACUGUCCAAAUAACAAACUAUUAGGAACUAUAAGUCGCUAUAAGUAACUGUAAGUAACUACAAGGGAAUACUAAUUACUAGCAGUACAAGUACAAGUAAUUCAAGUAACUAAAUACAAAUAACAAACUAUUGGGAACUAUAAGUCGCUAUAACUAACUGUAAGUAACUACAAGGGAAUACUAAUUACUAACAGUACAAGUAAUUCAAGUAACUAAAUACAAAUAACAAACUAUUAGGAACUAUAAGUCGCUAUAACUAACUGUAAGUAACUACAAGGGAAUACUAAUUACUAGCAGUACAAGUAAUUCAAGUAACUAAAUACAAAUAACAAACUAUUAGGAACUAUUAAGUCGCUAUAACUAAUUGUAAGUAACUACAAGGGAAUGCUAAUUACUAACAGUACAAGUAAUUCGAGUAACUAAAUA
rnacentral:lncRNA from 11 species